AAUAGAUACCCAGGUAGUCCACGCCCUAAACGACGUACACUAGACCGAUGCGGCUCUGACGUCGUAUUGGUUGUAGAGAAAUUGAUAAGUGUACCGCCUGGGGAGUACGGUCGCAAGGCUAAAACUCAAAGAAAUUGACGGGGGCUCACACAAGCGGUGGAGCAUGUUGCUUAAUUCGAAGCAACGCGAAGAACCUUACCCGGGUUUGACAUGCAUGGAUUAGUUUCUGGAAACAGGAAUGACAGCCGCAAGGUUGGAACAUGCACAGGUGCUGCAUGGCUGUCGUCAGCUCGUGCUGUGAAGUGUUUGGUUAAGUCCAUUAACGAGCGCAACCCUUGUCGCUAGUUGCUAACAGGUAAUGCUGAGGACUCGUAGCGAGACUGCCGGCGUCAAGCCGGAGGAAGGUGGGGAUGACGUCAAGUCCUCAUGGCCCUUACAUCCGGGGGUUGCAAAACGUGCUACAAUGGCGCGUACAAAGCGACGCGAGGCCGCAAGGCGGAGCAAAUCGCAAAAAAACGCGCCCCAGUUCGGU
rnacentral:rRNA from 1 species